rnacentral:rRNA from 1 species
AUUGAACGCUGGCGGCAGGCCUAACACAUGCAAGUCGAACGAGUGGCGGACGGGUGAGUAAUGUCUGGGAAACUGCCCGAUGGAGGGGGAUAACUACUGGAAACGGUAGCUAAUAACGCAUACCAUCGGAUGUGCCCAGAUGGGAUUAGCUAGUAGGUGGGGUACAGGCCCACCUAGGCGACGAUCCCUAGCUGGUCUGAGAGGAUGACCAGCCACACUGGGACUGAGACACGGUCCAGACUCCUACGGGAGGCAGCAGUGGGGAAUAUUGCACAAUGGGCGCAAGCCUGAUGCAGCCAUGCCGCGUGUAUGAAGAAGGCCUUCGGGUUGUAAAGUACUUUCAGCGGGGAGGCGUUACUCGCAGAAGAAGCACCGGCUAACUCCGUGCCAGCAGCCGCGGUAAUUC